GCAAGGAGACAGGUCAUUGGAAGAGAAACUGUAAGAAAUACCUAGAGCAGCUCAAGCAGAAGCAGCAGGAUGGAAAGAGUUCCACCUCAGGGGCUGAAAAGAAGUAGGAGCUUAGCAAGAGGCGAAGUGGACAUUCGCGUGGGCAAUGGAGCAAGAGUUGCUGCUGUUGCGGUCGACACUAUGCCAUUAUCUUUACCGUUAGGAUUAGUUUUGGAGUUAAAUAAUUGUUAUUGCAUUCCAGCUUUGUGUAAGAACGUUAUCUCUGCUUCUUGUUUGCAAGCAGAGGGUUAUGGUUUUAGAUCUAUGGACAAUGGUUGUUCAGUCUAUUAUAAUGACAUUUUCUAUUUCCAUGCACCCAUGAUGAAUGGCUUAUACAUUGUGAAUCUUGAUGGAUGUUCAGUCUA